CGCUCAGGUGGGCACACACUUGCCAGGUGGCCCCUGGUCCUCUUCAGCUCUGAGAAUCUGUGCCUGGCAGAGGCUUUGAGUGGGGGAGGGAAGGAGUCCUGGUGUCCUCUGACUAGUCCUGGCUUCUGUUAAGUGAUGUCCCCAUGGGGCAGGGCAGGACACGGAACUCAGGGCCCCUCCACACUCUUCCCAGCUCCCCCUGCACCCCAGAUCGUAUCUUUCUCAUCACUCACCCUGGGCCUCUCCUGCUGAGGUCAGGAGAACCAUGCCUUCCAAGCCUCCCCCAAGUAGGCAGUGCGAGCUUGAUGAAGUCUAGUGACCUCCCAGCACCUAUUCCGCCCACCUCUGCCUGUGUCAUCCUAGUUUUAGGGAUAUAGGCACAUCAUACAUUGUCACUGCUAAAAGCUCUCAGUCCCUGCUGGAUGGCACAUGCCUGUAAUCCCAACACGUGGGAGGCUGAGGCAGGUGGAUUGCUAUGAGUUCAAGGCCAGCCUGUGCUACAUAGUGAAUUUUUUUUUUUUUUGGUACCAGGCAUCAACUCCGGACCUUGGGCUUUCAAGGCAUAUUGAAUUUAAAGCCAGCCUGAACUACAUAGCGAGACCCUGUCUCAAAGAAACAAAAACAAAAAACAAUUGGCCAGGAAUCAAACUCAAGACCUUGCACUUGCCAGGCAGGACCAGUGCCACUAAGCUAAAUCCCCAGCCCUGUUUUGUUUUUUAAAGACGAGGUCUGGCUAUCUAGUUCAGGCUGGCCUCAAACUCUUGACAGUCCUGCCUCAGCUUCCCAAGUGGUGGGAUUACAGGUGUGUUAUCACCAUGCCUGGGUCCAAGACCCAUUUAAAAAAAAAACUUUUAUAACAAAACAAAAACAACUUGUGUAAUAUUUUUUAUGGUACUGGGGAUUAAACUCAGGGCCUUUGCACUGCGCUAUAUCCCUGACUUUUUAAAAAGUUUUUUGUUUUAUAAAUAAGUUCCCGUUAAAUCACUAAAUUGCUCAGGCUGGGCUCAGGCUUGCAGUCCUCCUGCCUCUGCCUCCAGAAUGCAGAGAUUACAGGUGUGUAACCACCACACCCUCUUUUUUCCUCUUGAAUUUUGGCUUUCUUUUUCUCCCUUCACCUCUGCACUUAGACUGGCCUGGAAAUACAGCUUCUGUCACUGUGGGCUCUGUGAGCUGGGACUCUUGCAAAGGGACUCAGGUCGGACAAGUGGAGAAAGGACUAGGACACCACUGACAGAUCUUUCUUGGGGUGUUGUAUUGUUGUCCUAUUUUUUUUUUUUGGUACUGGGGAUCGAACUCCGGACCUUGGCAGAUGCAAAGCAGGCACCAGAACCACUGAGCUAAAUCCCCGGCCCUACUGGGGUGUUGUAUUGUUUCCUGUACCCUCUCCACACUUCCUUUCAUGGAUAACUUUUCUUUCUUUGGGACUGCAGUAUUUUUUGCUUUACUUUGUUUUUUGUUUGUGAGACAAAGGUCUUGCUGUAUAGUUUAGCCUGGCCUUGAACUCACCAUGUAGUGGAGACUGGCCUCAAACUCACAGAGAUCCUCCUACCUCAACCUCCUAAAUGCUGGGUUCACAG
ensembl:lncRNA